rnacentral:rRNA from 1 species
GGCGGUAUUUUAGUCUAUUCAGAGGAACCUGUCUUGUAGUCGAUAAUCCACGAUGGACCUUACUUAAGUUUGUAUUCAGUUUAUAUACCGUCGUUAUUAGAAUAUUUUAUAAGAAGGUUAAUUUUCAAGAUUUUUAAAAAGAAAAUAUAUCAGAUCAAGGUGUAGCUUAUAUUUAAGUAUUGAUGGGUUACAAUAAAAUUAUUUAUAUGGAUAUAAAUUUGAAAAAUUUAUUGAAAGUGGAUUUGAUAGUAAAAUUAUAUAGAUUAAUAGUUUGAUUUUAGCUCUAAAAUAUGCACACAUCGCCCGUCACUCUUAUUAUUAAGGUAAGAUAAGUCGUAACAUAGUAGAUGUACUGGAAAGUGUAUCUAGAAUGCAAUUUAAAGCUUAUUAAGUAAAGCAUUUCAUUUACAUUGAAAAGAUUUUUGUGCAAAUCAAUAUAAAUUGAUUAAAUUUUAUUUAUUACAAAAAAAUUUUUUUUUAUAUAAAUUAUUAAAAAUAAUUAUUAAAA